CCGGGGACGAGGAGCUGGCAUCAGGCACACCAGAUGGCCCAAGACGCCUUGCUCAGCCACACCCCCAAGGGAAUUCAGCAGUAAUAAACAUUAAGCCAUAAGUGAAAACUUGACUUAGUUAGGGUUAAGAGGGCCGGUAAAAUUCGUGCCAGCCACCGCGGUUAUACGAAAGACCCUAGUUUAUAGGCACGGCGUAAAGGGUGGUUAUGGGACAGACAAAAUAAAGCUAAAGACCCCCAGAGCCGUCAUACGCCCACGGGGGCGCGAAACCCAAAUACGAAAGUAGCUUUACCAAACAAAUGCCCGACCCCACGAAAGCUGAGAAACAAACUGGGAUUAGAUACCCCACUAUGCCCAGCCUUAAACCUAGAUGAAAACUUACAAAACCAUCCGCCCGGGGACUACAAGCACAGCU
rnacentral:rRNA from 1 species